UCAAGCUAAAAAGGGCGCAAGGGGGAUGCCUUGGCAUUGGUAGCCGAUGAAGGACGUAGCGAUCUACGAUAAGCCACGGGAAGUCGAAAGCAGGCAAUGAUCCGUGGAUUUCCGAAUGGGGAAACCCGGCAGAGCAAUACUCUGUCAACUCCUUGUGAAUAAAAUAGCAUUGAGUAGGGAACCUCCUGAACUGAAACAUCUAAGUAGGGAGAGGAAAAGAAAUCAACCGAGAUUCCGCUAGUAGUGGCGAGCGAACGCGGAAGAGGCCAAACCAAGAGUAGUAAUACUUUUGGGGUUCGGACUGAGUACGGUAUUGACAAGAGUUAGUAGAAUGGAAUGGGAAGUUCAACCAUAGAGUGUGAGAGUCGCGUAUACGAAAACUUGAGUCAGCCAUCAGUAUCCAGAGUACCGCCGGACACGUGAAACCCGGUGGGAAUACGGGGGGACCACCCUCCAAGCCUAAAUACUCACCAAUGACCGAUAGUGUAUAGUACUGUGAAGGAAAGGUGAAAAGAACCCCUGGCGGGGAGUGAAAAAGAACCUGAAACCUUGUGCCUACAAGCACAUAGAGCACGUCAACGUGUGAUAUGGUACCUUUUGUAGAAUGGUCCGGCGAGUGAAUGUCACUAGCGAGGUUAAGAACUUAAGGUUUGCAGCCGAAGCGAAAGCGAGUCUUAAUAGGGCGAGUUUAGUUAGUGGUAUUCGACCCGAAACCGAGUGACCUAGCCAUGAGCAGGCUGAAGUGGAGGUAAAACUCCAUGGAGGGCCGAACCCACUCCCGUUGAAAUGGUAGGGGAUGACUUGUGGCUAGCGGAGAAAUUCCAAUCGAACUCGGAGAUAGCUGGUUCUCUCCGAAAUAGCUUUAGGGCUAGCCUCAAUUAACAUUACCGCAGGUAAAGCACUGAAUGGGCUAGGGGGCGAAAGCUUACUGAACCCUAUCAAACUCAGAAUGGCGGAUAAUGAAUAAUUGGGAGUCACACUACGUGAGAUAAGUUUCGUGGUGGAAAGGGAAACAGCCCAGACCCACAGCUAAGGUCCCAAAGUACAGUUAAGUGGAAAAGGAUGUGAAGUUGCGCAGACAACCAGGAUGUUGGCUCAGAAGCAGCCACUCAUUCAAAGAGUGCGUAAUAGCUCACUGGUCGAGUGAUUUUGCGCCGAAAAUUUAACGGGGCUAAACUGUACACCGAAGCUUGGGAAUAUACCUUAUGGUAUGUUGGUAGGAGAGCGUCGUAUGCGGGGUGAAGUCGUAGCGAAAGCGGCGGUGGACUGCAUAGGAGUGAGAAUGCCGGAAUGAGUAGCGAGAAUUAUGUGAGAAUCAUAAUGGCCGAAAGACUAAGGUUUUAGAAGGAAGGUUCGUCCGCUUCUAGUUAGCCGGGAGCUAAGGCGAGGCCGAAAGGCGUAGUCGAUGCACAUACGGUUGAGAUUCCGUAGCCACCUUAAAUUUAAACUAAGGGACACAUUGAAAGGGAAUAACCCAGGCGUUGGUUGACCUGGGCGUAAGGGAACGAAAAUAAGUAGUGAAGUAUUCUUGGACAGUGGCGAGAAAAGCUUAGUGUAUAUUAUUAGGGUGCCCGUACUGCAAACCGACACAGGUAGUCAGGAAGAGAAUUCUAAGGCCAUCGGGAGAAGCGUUGUUAAGGAACUCGGCAAAUUGACCCCGUAACUUCGGAAUAAGGGGUGCUCACGAGAGUGAGCCGCAGUGAAUAGGUCCAGGCAACUGUUUAUCAAAAACACAGCUCUCUGCUAAAUCGUAAGAUGACGUAUAGGGGGUGACACCUGCCCGGUGCUGGAAGGUUAAGAGGAGGAGUGCAAGCCCCGAAUCGAAGCCCCAGUAAACGGCGGCCGUAACUAUAACGGUCCUAAGGUAGCGAAAUUCCUUGUCGGGUAAGUUCCGACCCG
rnacentral:rRNA from 1 species